rnacentral:rRNA from 1 species
GAUGAACGCUGGCGGCGUGCCUAAUACAUGCAAGUCGAGCGAACGGACGAGAAGCUUGCUUCUCUGAUGUUAGCGGCGGACGGGUGAGUAACACGUGGAUAACCUACCUAUAAGACUGGGAUAACUUCGGGAAACCGGAGCUAAUACCGGAUAAUAUUUUGAACCGCAUGGUUCAAAAGUGAAAGACGGUCUUGCUGUCACUUAUAGAUGGAUCCGCGCUGCAUUAGCUAGUUGGUAAGGUAACGGCUUACCAAGGCAACGAUGCAUAGCCGACCUGAGAGGGUGAUCGGCCCCACUGGACCUGAGACGCGGUACAGACUCCUACGGGAGGCAGCAGUAGGGAAUCUUCCGCAAUGGGCGAAAGCCUGACGGAGCAACGCCGCGUGAGUGAUGAAGGUCUUCGGAUCGUAAAACUCUGUUAUUAGGGAAGAACAUAUGUGUAAGUAACUGUGAACAGCUUGACGGUACCUAAUCAGAAAGCCACGGCUAACUACGUG